AGUCCUUCUGCUGUAUCUGUGCUUCGGCCUCUUUCACCUUCGGGAUUUUGUUAGACAAGGACGCUGCUAUACACACUCCACCACCAUGUCGAAGGGCUUCGAUCCUAUGAGCUUCGCCAAGGAUUUUAUCGCCGGUGGCAUCGCCGCCGCGAUUUCCAAGACGGCCGUGGCGCCCAUCGAGAGGGUGAAGCUCCUGCUGCAGGUCCAGGCCGCCUCCAAGCAGAUCACGGCCGACAAGGCGUACAAGGGCAUGGUUGAUUGCUUUGUCCGCAUCCCAAAGGAACAGGGUGUUCUUGCAUACUGCGUGGUAACCUUGCCAACGUUAUCCGAUAUUUCCCCACCCAGGCUCUCAACUUCGCCUUCAAGGACAAGUACAAGCAGAUCUUCCUCGGUGGCGUAGACAAGAAGACACAGUUCUGGAGGUUCUUCGUUGGUAACUUGGCUUCUGGUGGUGCUGCUGGUGCAACUUCCCUUUGCUUCGUCUACCCCCUUGAUUUCGCUCGAACCAGGUUAGCUGCUGAUAUUGGCAAGGGGCUGUCAGCGUGAAUUCAAUGGUUUGGGAGACUGUCUUGUUAAGAUCUUCAAGGCUGAUGGCAUCAUGGGUUUGUACCGUGGCUUCGGAGUGUCUGUGCAGGGUAUCAUUAUCUACCGUGCCGCCUUCUUCGGUUUCUACGACACAGCUAAGGGCAUGUUGCCUGAUCCUAAGAAGUGCUGGCAUCAUCCUCUCAUGGGCUAUUGCACAGACCGUGACCACCAUUUCCGGCAUCAUCUCUUAUCCCUUCGACACUGUGCGUAGGCGCAUGAUGAUGCAGUCCGGUCGCAAGGGUGCUGAUAUCAUGUACAAGAACACCAUUGAUUGCUGGAAGAAGAUUGCCAGAAUGAAGGUAGUGCUGCGUUCUUCAAGGGUGCCUUCUCAAAUGUUCUCCGUGGUACUGGUGGUGCCCUUGUCCUGGUAUUGUAUGACGAGAUCCAGAUCCUCCUGUUCGGCUCUGCAGCGAAGAGUGGCGAAUAAACCUUGAUACAUUACAACCUUAUGUUCGUCGAUCUGCUCGAGAUACUGGAUGGGGAUGACAGAAAAUGGUGGGGUGAAAGAGGACUGCUGUUGGGUAUGCAUAAGCAAAAAUUUCAGCCCAAAGGCUUGUCUUCUGCCAUGUGUAUAGUAAAAUAGUUCCAUGAACUGUACUCGCCUCUGUCCAGCAUGUAGAUCUACAGAUUGAUGCCCAUGUUCAUGUUUUAUAUUAAUUAUAAAGUGGGGAUUCUAGAACAUAGUUUGUACAGAAUAUCAAAUUCAGAAAGCCACAAAUGUCACCAAUUUUCAAUGGCAAAACCAUUCCUGUAAUAAAUUAUCAUAAGUAAAAAAUAAAAAAAUGGAAACACUGAAA